UGGGGUUGUUGGGUGCCAACAGCCGCCGUGGCCUGCUCGGGUCGGACUUCCCUGCUCUCUAUAAAUGUCUUCUGGGGUCGCCUCCGCCUUCUCCACCCACCUUGGCCAUACCUGUUCCGUCUCGUUGAACCCCGUGUGCAUUAGAUGGAGAGAAUCGGAGCGUAUGAACGCCGCCUGGAGGAGCUGUUGACGCGCCGCGCCUAGAUCCUCGAAUUCGCCCACACCGGUCGUCGUGGUGCUUCACUUGGACACGCCAAAAAGGUUUGGGGCAUCUUCGGGUGGGACUUGCGAUCGGGGCGCCAGGAAUUUCUCGUCGUGGUCACUGCUCCGUCAUAGAACCACGCCACCGUGUGGGCAGUGCCGCCACCAUCCCAAACCGAGGCUUUACAUCUCCAGGACACUUUUGCUAUUACUAUAUAAAGUUUUAAACUUAGAAGCCUUUGGCCCAACUUGAUGGUAGGUUGUAACCAUGCCUAGAACUGUGAACCAUGAGUGAUGUCUGCAUUUUGUUGGAUUGAACCUUGGUCUACGAGUGGGACAAAAUGACUGCAAGCACCAACUCUACUUUGUUCUUUGUUUUUAUCUAUUUAAAUUAUGUGCAAACUACGACCAACAUAUUGUCUGUUUGCUAGGACAUACAUUUAUCUUGUUGAAUUGAAACUUUAUGUAGACAGGGAACUAAACCUUAUUGUCUGUUUGCUACGAGUGUACUGAAGGUUCUUCAUGUCCAGAGCAGAAAUCUUUAUGUAUAGCUUGACAUUUUAGAUAUAUGUACAAUGGAUCAGAUUUUCUGCUUUUA